AGAGAUUUUAGUAUAAAUUAGUAUAAUUUAUUUUCAAUAAAUAGGUAAUAAAAAUCUU
rnacentral:tRNA from 1 species